GCUCCGCCAUAGUGAGAAGCGCCUGCUUCUCCUUCACCUUCCGCCAUGAUUGUAAGCUUCCCGAGACCUCCCAGCCAUGCUUCCUGUACAGCCUGCAGAACUGUGCCACGGGUCGGAGACAGCACGGAAGGAGAGACAAGCCUUACGGAGACAACGCCCAGCGACGGACAGGAGGUGGAAGGAAAGAGCGCGGAGUCGGUGCUGGUGGGAGGAGGAAACGGUGCUAGCACGGCGGAAAACCUGUGGCGGUUACCCAGCGACGAUGACAUACAUGCUCUACGAUUCCGCCAAAUCACGGGGAGCACAGCCCACAGAAAGGCCUGCGCACUCCCUGAAAGACGCUCACAGGGAUGUCACGGCUCUGCUCUUCCUCACGACGGAAAAGGGAAACGGGGGUAAUACCCGUCUAUGGUAAAAAAGAUCGAUAAUUUGGAAAUGGAACUUGUGAAAUAUUCCUUGGAGUAUCUCCAGGAUGAGAAUUCAUGAUCCCCUUGGAAUGGGUUUAGAUCUCGGAAUGAGCUGUCAUCCCGGCCCAGCCAGGUAGCUCAGGAAGGUAAGCCGUGUGUAGACUGUCACUGUUGGACGGAUGGCUGUUUGCCUACAAAGUGACAGGACGGCCUUUAUUUUCCAGCCCAGCCAUUUAAAGAUGAUGCUAGACAGAACUCCAGAUAUUCUUGGAGCAGCAUCAGCAUUGGCACGAAAAGCCCCACGGCCCACAGAACUCCUUGGGAGGCAGCGACGCUUUUCUCCAAUCCUGUUUAGUGCCUGCAAGACCUUCCGCCAAGGAACCUGCUGCCAACUCGCCUGGCACAGGCGUCCUGAGAUGACACCACUGCUCAUUCCCCACUGGCACAGGACCGGCCAUCUCCUCCAAGCCUGAGCAGCCUGUACAGCAUCCCAAGCUCUGGGCGCACCUGGGGCAGCCGUGGCAGGAACGCCAUGGGAUCUGCUGAGCCCUAUGAGGCUGUGGUGGGACCGAGUGGGCACCAUGGCCCAUGCAGAACUGCUUCUCCCUUGAAGAAGAAACACAGGCUAUUGGCUCAGCUGUAAAAGGCAAACACAGGCUAUUGGCUCAGCUGUAAAAGGAGAUCACAGGCAUCCGCUUGGAUGGGGAGUUGGUGCCAGCUUUCCUACUACAUGAAAAUUCAAUCGCAACUGCUACCCAGACCCGCUCUGUCUGCACCACAGCAGUGGUGACUGAGGGCAUGCCUGCCAUGCCAAUCCCGCAGAGGAGUUUGCUGCAGCGAGACAGCCCCUUUCUCCCUCCAUGACAGAGUUUAGAAGCCUCCUCCUCUUGCUGCCACCGUGGGAAUUUAGGUGAGCAGCUGUAGUUGCCAGGGAGUCCUGAGCACAACACUUAACGCUGCUCCUGCAGUUUCAUGGGCCAUUAACAAUUUGCUAAUAUUGUUUUAGCUUCCAAAUUAGUGCAGCUCUGUGGGUAAGGAAAGGCUCCGUGGCUGUCAUCAAUCAGAUGGAAAUUCUUCAUGCAUGAGAUGAAAAACGAUUUCUAGCCUUUGAGGCUCAGACAGCAAUUACUGUAACCAAAAAAAUGGGUGGUGGGGAGCCGGGGGGAAGAGAGCUCCUUGCAAAAUCUAUCAGUAAUUCUAUGAACUUUAUUUCUUGAUGCACGAGAGUGAAACUGUGAGGAUUUCAAGCCAUGGGAACUUGAUUUUCUUAGUUACUAAUAAAGUGACAAUCUAAAGGAGCCCUCUCCAGCUGACCUGCUCCCAGAAGGUGGGGAGAGAGGAUGUCCGUGUGGCAAGAAGGAUGACAAAGCCGUGAGGACCUGGUGACUGUCUUUGCUGAGCUCCCAACUGGUGACGCUCACCAGGAGGACGCCACAGAUGGCUCUGCCAAAAGUGCAGACAAACCUUGGCCUUGAUUGUUGGAAACCAUGUGGCUUAUCCCCCAUCCCUCCCACCUUUUAGCACCAACAUUUUUUCUUUUUAAAUAUUGAUACGAGACUGGGCUGGGCAUGGUGGCUCAUGCCUGUAGUUCUAAUGCUUUGGAAAUCUGAGGCAGGAGAAUCACUUGAUCUCCAGUUCUAGACCAGCCUGGGCAGUAUAGUGAGAACCCCAUCUCUACAAAAACAUUUCAAAAAUUAGCUGGGUGUGAUAGUAUGCACUAUGGUCCCAGCUGCUUGGGAGGCUGAGGCAGGAGGAUCACUUGAGCCCAGGAGGUCAAGGCUGCUGUGAGCCAUGAAUGCCCCUCUGCACUCCAGCCUGGGCAACAGAGUGAGACCCUGUCUCUUAAAAUAAAAGUGAGACUGUUAUGAAA
rnacentral:lncRNA from 1 species